rnacentral:misc_RNA from 1 species
GUACUCUCACUCUCCCGAUCUUUGGAUUGGGAGUGGUGGACUUGGGUGUUGCUGCUUUACCGUGGCUCACCUCAAAUGGAUUCGUGCAACUCCUGGUUGGACAUAGUACGGCGUGAUAAGUAUCUUCGCCGGCACCUCAUUAGAGGGUGGCUGACCGGGAGCUCUGUGCUUCAAACCGUCUUCGGACAAUGACUGACA